GUGGUCAUGAGACUGGAAUACAGUGC
rnacentral:piRNA from 1 species